GUUACGGUUUGAGGGUCAUCCCCUAGCACCGGGGAGUCACUCAAGGUUUUGCGGCAACAUUGUGUCCGCGAGUGUAGCCGGGAUGGGGGAGCCUAGCGCAGCGGGUUCACACGAGCUUCGCAAAGGGGCCGCGAGGUCGAACCGCCGGAGCGCUGGGGGCGCGGGCGGGUGGAGAGCCGCAGGAUGCGUUGUCAUGGAGAUGCCUGUGACGUCACACCGGUCGGGCCGCAAGACCUUCCUUCUCGACCCAGUGGAUGGUCACACUGGGAACAAAAUGGACCUGCCAUUCAGAAGAACUGGGUGACCUUGAUGGAUUCUGAGAGGAGCCUGGGAGCUCUGGAGAGGCCGACCUACACACACAAGUUACCAUGAGAUGUGGCCGCCUCUGAAACUGCAUCUCCCUUUACAGCUUGGUCAACAUUGUCUUGAAGUGGAGUUACCAGCAUCGCUCCCUCCCAACUCCUCUGCUCUCAGAAGCCGGCCCUCUGGACUUCGCCUCCGCCUUCUCUCUGCAGCCUCUGCUCCUGGUUGCUCCUGGACUCCAGGGCCCAGCGCGCCGACCCCCGGGAUUCUGGAGGGAAGCAAGUGACAUGAACCAGCACAGAGUUAAGUGAAAGGUCCACCCCCGGCCCCCGAGCCAUGGCUGGUCUGCGGAACGGCCAUCGCAGCUGCAUCCGGGCCGCAUUCACGGCCAGCACCAGGGCUGGCUUCCAGAAGAGGCGGAGAAACAGGCUCCAUCGCCUCAAGGCCAGUCACAAGAAGAAUCAUCUGGACUUUGUUGAAGGCAUCUGGAGAGAGCUUUUAGAUCCUUACGACGCUGACUGGGAAGACACCCGUGGUCACACCUCCUGUCAUUUCAACGGCUGCUCCUUGGGUGCUUCGAACUGUGAUGGGCCUCUGCACACGCUCAAGUCCAGGGGUCCAGGGGACGUGAGCUUAGAAGACCCCCUCUUGGCGAACCUUCCAGUCCUGGUCCUGACGGCCACAGGCUGGGCCCCUGCAGCCCCGGAGGCCAGCGACGUGGACAUGCAACCUGCGGAGGCCGGUGGCCUGGAGGCGCGGGGUCGGAUGGCCCGGCUGCCUGGGCUCCCAGAGGACUCGGGGAUGAUGGAGGAAGACCGGGGAUCCCCCGAGGCUGGCAGACCCCAGGGCAGGGCCAGAGGGUCACGGCCGCCCCCUAGACUCGGGACUGAGAGGGACAGGGGGCCCAAGCUUGCCCUCUCCAAGAGGAAACUGGAACUUUUACUUGCAGAGCCGGAGAAGAGUAAGCGAAAGAAGCAGUGUGUGGCCUAGAUCAGGUGAGCGGGGCGACAGGUGACAUGGGCCAGGGCCUCAGAGGCGAGGACAGCGUUGAUGAGCAUAGCAAAAGAGCUUCCAUGAAGCAUGUGGCUCCUUUUGUGUCUUCUUGUUCAAACAAUGGAAAUGUAUCAUGAAGUUUCAGGAGCUGAUGGUCUGCGGAUGA